rnacentral:rRNA from 1 species
UACGGGGGGAGCAAGCGUUGUUCGGAUUUACUGGGCGUAAAGGGCGCGUAGGCGGUAGCACAAGUCAGUUGUGAAAUCUCCGGGCUUAACUCGGAAAGGUCAACUGAUACUGUGCGGCUAGAGUGCGGAAGGGGCAACUGGAAUUCUUGGUGUAGCGGUGAAAUGCGUAGAUAUCAAGAGGAACACCUGCGGCGAAGGCGGGUUGCUGGGCCGACACUGACGCUGAGGCGCGAAAGCGUGGGGAGCGAACGGG